CUGAGUACGGCGGAACACGUGAAAUUCCGUCGGAAUCCGGGAGGACCAUCUCCCAAGGCUAAAUACUCCCUAGUGACCGAUAGUGAACCAGUACCGUGAGGGAAAGGUGAAAAGCACCCCGGAAGGGGAGUGAAACAGUUCCUGAAACCGUGUGCCUACAAGUAGUUAGAGCCCGUUAAUGGGUGAUAGCGUGCCUUUUGUAGAAUGAACCGGCGAGUUACGAUUUGUUGCAAGGUUAAGCGGAAAAAGCGGAGCCGUAGCGAAAGCGAGUCUGAAUAGGGCGCAUAAGUAACAGGUCGUAGACCCGAAACCAGGUGAUCUACCCAUGUCCAGGAUGAAGGUAAGGUAAUACUUACUGGAGGUCCGAACCCACGCACGUUGAAAAGUGCGGGGAUGAGGUGUGGGUAGCGGAGAAAUUCCAAUCGAACUUGGAGAUAGCUGGUUCUCUCCGAAAUAGCUUUAGGGCUAGCCUCGAGGUAAAGAGUCAUGGAGGUAGA
rnacentral:rRNA from 1 species